CAUUUGAAACUCAAAAUACGUCACUCUACUUUUAUUUAUUCCCUGUUUAAAGAAAAUUUCAAGUGUGAACCAUAUAUACCCUAUAUCAAUAUUAA